rnacentral:lncRNA from 1 species
CGAUCUCUCGCGCGUUACUGAGGGUGUUGGAGUUUGGGUUCAUUGGUUUCUAUUUUCUGUUUCGUUUGCAAGGCAAGUUCUUUCUUUGAAGUAAGAGGUGAUGCAGUGAUGGAUCGGAGGCGGCCCGUAAAGCGGGUGCGACCUGACGAGUUUUUCUUUGACGGAGGAGAGUCCAACAACACAGGGUCUUUCUUGAAGAAGUAGUCGCAUAGUUCCGAAGUUGAGGCUCGUUAUGAUCGGUAUGAUCAUGAGACAUGAACCCUCCAACGCAAGUUGAUAACUGAGUGAGGUACCAAGAGCAGACUCGUGCCUGAAGAUCCUUUUGAACUGAAUGGCUCG